AAAAAAAUGGCACAUCUGGAAAGAGCCAUCCCUGUCUGGGAGCAGUCAGCAGAUGUCAACAUCCAUCUGACCACCACCAGUGCCCACCACUCCUCGAGCAUUUGAAGGACCCCCAGGACCUCUCCUGGUCCUGCAACAAGAACCACAAAACUUCUGCUUGACCAUUUCCAGGCAGCUGUUUCCAGGACCCGGAGACCAACUAUAGAUACAAUAAAAACAAAAGCUGACAUGGGACUGGAAACGCUUUCCUCACUCCCAAGGGAGACGGGGAAACAGAAGAAAUGAAGGAAGCAGUUGUGAACCUUCAGUUCCAGCUCACCCAACAGUCACAAAAUCCUUUUUGGGAUCCCCAGUGACCAAAUCACAGCUGCCACAAAAACUGACGUUGCUGAUAAGGGAGCAGAUGUUCCCUCACCUUCAUAUUUUUGCUGGAUACGACUGAUUCAAGUUUCUGGGCACAAAACCAGUUGGAAAGAGCCUGUUCCCAGGGAUAUAUGCCUGCUAAAAACACCAGAGCUGGAUGCCACUGUGACAUGAGGGAUGUAUGUGCCACCUCCUUUCUCCACCUCCAGCCUGAAUCCCAUCCUGCCUUCUCUCAAACUCGACAAAAAGGAGCCAAACCAAAGCAACUGUCUGCAUUUGGCUUUAUCUGCUACAAAAUGUCAAACUCUUCAACAGGAAUCACAACAUUUCCAUCCUCCCUCCCUCCCUCCAAAGCAGGGAGACUGGUGCAAAGAAGCAAAAAAUGUAUCAGAAAAAAAGAAAGCGGCCACAAAUGGACUGAAGAUGGAGGUCCCUUUUGGACAACAAAAGGUCCUGUAGGGGAAAAGCCCACCUGAGUUUCUCCACAUUCCCUUGUGUCACCUCUGAAUGUGCUUCCCAUGCAACCAUUUAUCUGAAAAUGUGAGUGCACGUGGGGCACACUGUGGAAAUAUUAUGACUAAUGAGUGGAACCUGUGCAAUGUGUCAAAAUCUUCCCUCUCUCCCCAUAAAACAGCAUUUCACAGGCACUUGAGACAUCGGCACCUACAUUUAAUCUGUUUUCUUGUGAGAGGAUGGAAUGCAUUCAAUGAAUUACAGUGAUUUUCUGUCUCACCAGUAGAUUCUGCACUGGCAUGGCAGCAGAGAAGCCACAGGCUCCCCCAGGUCAUUGCUAUGGGAUCAGCAGGCUCGCAUCCCCCCUUAUUUAUUUUGGAAGAGCACAUCAGGGCACAACGUAUCAUUUGAUUUUGAUUUUUUUUUUUUUUUUCCCUGCUAAUAGAUUCUGUGCUGGCAUGGCAGCAGAGAAGCCACAGGUCCCCCCAUGCCACUGCUAUGGGAUCAACAGGCUCGCAUCCCCCCUUAUUUAUUUUGGAAGAGCACAUCAGGGCAUAACAUAUCAUUUGAUUUUUUAAUUAUUUUUUCCCUGCUAAUACCCUAUUUUCCCCAUCUCUGGUCUUUGAUGGCACUGGACUGCAUCUCCUUGUCACUCCUGCACACACACAGUGCCCAUCCUGCAUUGCUGGGACUGCACAGGCUCCCCCAGCACGGAGAAAUCUCUUGCCCAGGGUUUCUCUGGGACCAUUUAUAGUUUCAUUACAAUGAUGUGUACCAGCACCUCCACCCCUGAAAUCCGCUCCUGCUUUGGACAGCCACAUUCCCAGGAUCACGGGGACCCAGCUGGGCUUCAGCGCCCAGACCUGGCCAGGUCUGCAGCAGUGGGGAUGGGCAGAGAAACACCUCAGCACCUUCUGCUUUUAGCAGGGAUAAAAUUACCCAUUUCCCCUCCUUUGCAGCAUCUUUCCCUCCCGAGCCGAGCAGCGCUGGCCGCGGAGCCGGCACAUCCCCGGGCGGAGCGGAGCGCAGGGCUCCGGCUGACGCACAGCCCUGCCAGGUCAGCCAUGCUCACACUUUCCACGUCUGCGGCAUCUCAGCCUGGAGCAGAAACCCUGCAAAGCCCCUUCCUGCAGCAACCCGGGCGAGAAACACGCUGAGAAAAGCCCGAGGGAGGCACAGGACAGAGCAGCUCCGCGGGGAGCGAGGUUUGCACGAAAGAGCAGAAGUUUCUUUGCUCGGCCGCUGAGGCACAUUUGAAGGUGAAGGUUGGACGGGGCUGUGGGGAGCCCAGGCUGCCCAGAGCAGAGCGGAACACAAAGAAACCCAGCCCCAGCAUGAUGAAAUACAAGUUUAUUUGCUUUAGCUCGGGUCCAACUUCCCUCUCUUGCUCAGGAAAAAAUUCUUUAAUGCUGCUCUGUCUGGGAGCUUUCGUGCAAACCAGGUUUUUAACCAACUCGAAACACAACUCCAGAGAGAUGGCGAGUCCUGAGCACCCCGAGAUCCAAGGAAGCGGGACCGGAGCAUCCUGACUUCUCCAAGUCCUUUUGCUCUGCCCCCACUCUCCUGCUUCUCAUCCCAGACACGGAGUCAACGCGGCCGUAGCUGAACCGUGAAGGCAUCUCCUCCUCGGUGCCCAGGCUGCUUGGAAAGGAGAAGCAACUGCAGGUCACGGACAAGACCUGGGAAAGAUCCACCUGUGACAGGAGAGGGGAAUUGCCGAGGGACUGUGAGGAAAACCAGAGGCACAGCAAUCAGCUCCAGGUGGCAGCUUGGGCACAGAUAAUCCAGUGGAGCACAGGGAUGGAAUUUGUGGAGAUUACAAAGGCUGGGAACAUUUCCAUGGAACAUCCAGG